rnacentral:rRNA from 1 species
GACGAACGUUGGCGGCGUGCUUAACACAUGCAAGUCGAACGGUAAGGCCCUGCUUUUGUGGGGUGCUCGGGUGGCGAACGGGUGAGUAACGCGUGAGGAACCUGCCCUUGACUUUGGGAUAACUUCAGGAAACUGGGGCUAAUACCGGAUAGGAGCUCCUGGUGCUUUGUGGGGGUGGGAAAGUUUCGGCGGUUGGGGAUGGACUCGCGGCGUAUCAGCUCGUUGGUGGGGUAGUGGCGUAGCAGGGCUUUGACGGGUAGCCGGCCUGAGCGGGUGAGCGGCCACAUUGGGACUGAGAUGCGGCGCAGACUCCUACGGGAGGCAGCAGUGGGGAAUAUUGCGCAAUGGGCGGAAGCCUGAUGCAGUAACGCCGCGUGCGGGAUGACGGCCUUCGGGUUGUAAACCGCUUCCGCCUGGGACGAGGCGUGAGUGACGGUAAUUGGUAAAGAAGCACCGGCUAACUACGUG